rnacentral:lncRNA from 1 species
AGAGAACUUGAUGUAGGAAUUCCUUCUCGUUUUACGUUAGAAAGAGAUAAAAAAAAAGUCAGUUAAUUUGGGAUUUUCCAUAAGAUCCCAACUAGUACUUAAAUAAAACCAAAUAAAACUAGAUAUUGUUAGUAACACAUUAAUACUAGUGUCAUUAGGGUCUUACACGGUUACAUUACCCUUCGGGGUUUUCACUGCAUUUUUCAAAAACCAUUACAAUUUUAUCUCUUCCUGAAGUUUGUAUAAAUAAAAUAUUGAACAGCAAAACAAACAUAAGAUCAGAUACUACCAAAUUAAGGUCCAAAACAGCAUACAGAAGGAAUUUGUGAACAACGCCAAAGAUACUUGGAGAAUAUAUAAAAGCAAGAGAAUCGGACCAUGUUUUCAAGUGGCACUCUAUGAUGCCUGAGUAACCAAAUAUGAUCUGGUAAUUUAACUUCUUGCAAGUUGCACUAUUGAACACCAAAACUUAUUGCAUAAUUAUUCAAUAUACAGUCAGACAUUGCGGGUAAGGGAUGAACAACAAUUUGAAGUACUAAAAAAUUAACAUAAUUGAAUAGCACAUAUUUCAAUUUUAAAUUACUUUACAGCCUUUGGGAGCAGAAAAAUAAGUGUUUUACUCAUACCUUUCUGUCAGUUAUCAGAGACACAGUUGGCUGUAAUCUGCCAAAGAAUAAUAGAAGCAAGCCAACAAAAUAAAUGCCAAAAUUUCCAAACAUUUUGGCUUUAGCUCAUUUGGUCCCAAAAUUCAUGUUAGACCAAAAGUUUUUAGUAUAAAAUCAAAACAAAUGCCACACUUCCCUUCAAAAUAGAGGUUGAGCUUACUGUCUAUGGUAUAAAGUAUAAACUGAUGAAUAAGAAAACAGUUUUAGUAUAAACUAAUGAAUAUAACAAGCUGGAAAUAAGCUAAGCUUAAUUUUAAACUAAACAUGUCCACCAGUCCACGGGGUCAAGCAUGAUACCUCACGCCCGUGACUCUUACGUUUAAUUGCUGGGUACAUAAUUUUGGCCUUGCAUAAUGGAGCUAGUCGUUAAUUACUCUUCAAACCUUGCAAGUUUAAAUUUAUUUCAAGUGAAGGUUGUAAUCUCAGAAGUCUUCUAAUCACUGUCAUUGUAAACUUUUUUGCGUUUCCUUUCCUCCAUCACAAGAUAUACAGAUAAUAGUUACAGUGUUGACUACACAAUCCCGAACUCCUCACCCAAGAGAAGACCUUCUGAACAAGUUUGCAAGCAGCCUCAACCAUUAUCCAUACAUAAUGUCUCUUAGAUGUUUUGAUAAAUAUACAGGGUUACAUGUUUUCAGCACAUGGUUGCUGUUCAUUUUUUGGUCUUUGAUUUAAUCUAAGAAACUGAAAUCACUUUGCAACAAUAGUCAGAGGAAUUUCAAUUUAUUGCUGAAAAUGUGGAAAUAAAUGACAAAUCCUAAAACAAACAGCUAAACUAAAAAAAAUCAUUCACAAAGAUCAAUUAAGGAAACUGCAAGUAGGUGUUUCUUUGGUUAUUUGAAGAUCAGACAGAACAGCCAAUUGCUGACACUGAAGCCUGAGAGGGGGGAAAACCUUCAAGUAAACUGCGUAGUCCUCUUUUGACUACAAUUAAGGUCCAAAACAGCAUACAGAAGGAAUUUGUGAACAACGCCAAAGAUACUUGGAGAAUAUAUAAAAGCAAGAGAAUCGGACCAUGUUUUCAAGUGGCACUCUAUGAUGCCUGAGUAACCAAAUAUGAUCUGGUAAUUUAACUUCUUGCAAGUUGCACUAUUGAACACCAAAACUUAUUGCAUAAUUAUUCAAUAUACAGUCAGACAUUGCGGGUAAGGGAUGAACAACAAUUUGAAGUACUAAAAAAUUAACAUAAUUGAAUAGCACAUAUUUCAAUUUUAAAUUACUUUACAGCCUUUGGGAGCAGAAAAAUAAGUGUUUUACUCAUACCUUUCUGUCAGUUAUCAGAGACACAGUUGGCUGUAAUCUGCCAAAGAAUAAUAGAAGCAAGCCAACAAAAUAAAUGCCAAAAUUUCCAAACAUUUUGGCUUUAGCUCAUUUGGUCCCAAAAUUCAUGUUAGACCAAAAGUUUUUAGUAUAAAAUCAAAACAAAUGCCACACUUCCCUUCAAAAUAGAGGUUGAGCUUACUGUCUAUGGUAUAAAGUAUAAACUGAUGAAUAAGAAAACAGUUUUAGUAUAAACUAAUGAAUAUAACAAGCUGGAAAUAAGCUAAGCUUAAUUUUAAACUAAACAUGUCCACCAGUCCACGGGGUCAAGCAUGAUACCUCACGCCCGUGACUCUUACGUUUAAUUGCUGGGUACAUAAUUUUGGCCUUGCAUAAUGGAGCUAGUCGUUAAUUACUCUUCAAACCUUGCAAGUUUAAAUUUAUUUCAAGUGAAGGUUGUAAUCUCAGAAGUCUUCUAAUCACUGUCAUUGUAAACUUUUUUGCGUUUCCUUUCCUCCAUCACAAGAUAUACAGAUAAUAGUUACAGUGUUGACUACACAAUCCCGAACUCCUCACCCAAGAGAAGACCUUCUGAACAAGUUUGCAAGCAGCCUCAACCAUUAUCCAUACAUAAUGUCUCUUAGAUGUUUUGAUAAAUAUACAGGGUUACAUGUUUUCAGCACAUGGUUGCUGUUCAUUUUUUGGUCUUUGAUUUAAUCUAAGAAACUGAAAUCACUUUGCAACAAUAGUCAGAGGAAUUUCAAUUUAUUGCUGAAAAUGUGGAAAUAAAUGACAAAUCCUAAAACAAACAGCUAAACUAAAAAAAAUCAUUCACAAAGAUCAAUUAAGGAAACUGCAAGUAGGUGUUUCUUUGGUUAUUUGAAGAUCAGACAGAACAGCCAAUUGCUGACACUGAAGCCUGAGAGGGGGGAAAACCUUCAAGGAAAAUGCGUAGUCCUCUUUUGACUGCCAUGGUUCAAAGUUCAAACUUCAAAGUACAAUAAAAACAACAUGGGUUGUUGUUGAUAUAAACAGUUCCAAUCACUAUAACUAGU